AUUGGAAGUUAUGUACAGUCUCGAUACACUAUUUGCAGGUCUAACAUCUGGGAGUUCGAACAAGUUGGAUGAAUUUCUCCAUUCCAGUUUCUCUAUGUUGACCCAAUGCCAAAGUAACCAGUAAAUAACUUACGGCGACAGUACAAUACAUAUAUGUACAGAUCAGAAGAGAUGAAUCGGCUUCCACUGGAUUCUUAGCUGGC